rnacentral:lncRNA from 1 species
GGUCAAUCAAGAAGAAGACAAAGGACAGGUGGGGCCUGGGACAGCUCCAAACCAGCAGGUUUCUGGUGAAGGCUCUGGGAGCCUGAGUUUUAAUCCUGCCUCCCCCACUGAGAUGCUACUGUAGGAUUUUAAGCCUUGCACUUAACUGCCAGUUGCAUCUGCUUCUGGGAAACGAGGAGGAACAGAUUUCAGCAAAGAAGAAAAGGUUGGAAUAUGUGGGGAAGAGAGAAAUUAUAAGAAAACGCAUUCAAAGGACAGAAGCUGGAGAUGGGUCAGCUGUCAGUCAAAUGAAGAUUCCUUUUGGAAUGUGCCCUGGAAAAGCAGUUUGGAGUCAAGCCAACUGCUGGACUUUUUCUGGGGCUUUGGGCUUUCUGGCUGAGCUGAAGGAAAAAGCUGGUUUUAUCUCUGGGACUUGGGAUAAUCAAGCUGGAGGUGGCCUGGCAGAAGAAGAAGGCAGAAAAACUUAAUUUCAUAGAAGAAGAGAUUGAGGCAAAUGAUGGUCAGUGUAUCAUGGAAUACUAUUGCACAGUAAGAAAUGAUGAAAGGGAUUGUUUCAGAGAAACCUGGGAAGACGUGUAAAUGGAUGAAAAGUGAAGGAUGUCUCUGUGGGAAGAAGAGGAGGCAUACAGGGAUAAAUCUAGGUGAAAUGAAGACAAAAAAGGGAGCAAGAGAAAAAAGAAAGAAACUAUAUACUUACAAUCACAAAAUUGGACCCCAAAGAACAGAUGAGAAAUAUAUCUCCUUCCUUUCUUCACAGUGCUGUGGAAUUUAUGGGUAUGAAACACUAAGUAUGCUAUCAGACUCAUUUGAUAUUUUGGUGAGUUUUUCAAGAAUUGUUUUCAUCUUUCUUUGUUAUCUUUUGUUAUAAGGAAUGGCUUUCUAGGUAAAGAAGGAAAACAAAUGUAUUUGGAAUGAAAAUGAAAUAAAAUAAUAAAAAUAAAUAUAUC